rnacentral:rRNA from 1 species
UGCAAAGCAGCAUCGCGGUGGCGGAGCGUCGUUUGCGACGCCCAACACACAAAACAAACGGUGAGUGCUUUGGGGUGGGGUGACUGCGUACCUUUUGUAUAAUGGGUCAGCGACUUAUAUUCUGUAGCAAGGUUAACCGAAUAGGGGAGCCGGAGGGAAACCGAGUCUUAAUUGGGCGUUAAGUUGCAGGGUAUAGACCCGAAACCCGGUGAUCUAGCCAUGGGCAGGUUGAAGGUUGGGUAACACUAACUGGAGGACCGAACCGACUAAUGUUGAAAAAUUAGCGGAUGACCUGUGGCUGGGGGUGAAAGGCCAAUCAAACCGGGAGAUAGCUGGUUCUCCCCGAAAGCUAUUUAGGUAGCGCCUCGUGAAUUCAUCUCCGGGGGUAGAGCACUGUUUCGGCUAGGGGGCCAUCCCGGCUUACCAACCCGAUGCAAACUGCGAAUACCGGAGAAUGUUAUCACGGGAGACACACGGCGGGUGCUAACGUCCGUCGUGAAGAGGGAAACAACCCAGACCGCCAGCUAAGGUCCCAAAGUCAUGGUUAAGUGGGAAACGAUGUGGGAAGGCCCAGACAGCCAGGAUGUUGGCUUAGAAGCAGCCAUCAUUUAAAGAAAGCGUAAUAGCUCACUGGUCGAGUCGGCCUGCGCGGAAGAUGUAACGGGGCUAAACCAU